UACGUAGGGGGCUAGCGUUGUCCGGAAUCAUUGGGCGUAAAGAGCGUGUAGGCGGUCCGGUAAGUCCGUUGUGAAAGUCAGGGGCUCAACCCUUGAAUGCCGGCGGAUACUGUCGGGCUAGAGUCCGGAAGAGGCAAGUGGAAUUCCCGGUGUAGCGGUGAAAUGCGCAGAUAUCAGGAGGAACACCGGUGGCGAAGGCGGGUCUCUGGGCCGAUACUGACGCUGAGGAGCGAAAGCGUGGGGAGCGAACAGG
rnacentral:rRNA from 1 species